UACGUAGGGGGCAAGCGUUGUCCGGAUUUACUGGGCUUAAAGGGUGCGUAGGCGGACUUUUAAGUCAGUGGUGAAAGCCUGUAGCUUAACUAUAGAAUUGCCAUUGAAACUGAAAGUCUCGAGUGUGGUUGAGGUAACUGGAAUAUGUCAUGUAGCGGUGAAAUGCUUAGAUAUGACAUAGAACAUCGAUUGCGAAGGCAGCUCGCUACGCUAUUAUUGACACUGAGGCACGAAAGCGUGGGGAUCAAACAGG
rnacentral:rRNA from 1 species